UACGUAGGGUGCGAGCGUUGUCCGGAAUUACUGGGCGUAAAGAGCUCGUAGGCGGUUUGUCGCGUCGGCCGUGAAAUCUCCACGCUUAACGUGGAGCGUGCGGUCGAUACGGGCAGACUUGAGUUCGGUAGGGGAGACUGGAAUUCCUGGUGUAGCGGUGAAAUGCGCAGAUAUCAGGAGGAACACCGGUGGCGAAGGCGGGUCUCUGGGCCGAUACUGACGCUGAGGCGCGAAAGCUGGGGGAGCAAACGGG
rnacentral:rRNA from 1 species